UUUUAACUCCACAUGGGGUAACAUCCACUGAAGCUUUUCUUUUUGAAGAAGGAUAACAUGGUGUGAAAGAAGGGUGGAGAGAAGCCAGGAUCUCAGGUAGAUCUGAAUCUGUAGCCUGACCAAAGAAGAACCCUCAAGAAUGUGCCUAAGACUGUGCCUCAAGGGAAAUCUGAGAGCUUCUUCGGAGUUACUUUUUCCUUCUGGAGGCCAGCGCAUCGGCGCAGAGACCAAGGUGAGAAAAUGCAUGUAAAAUGGGCUGUGAGCUGGAAGCUAAAACGUUGGAGGAAUUCAAAUCGUGGGAGGUAUCAGAAUCAAGCCAGGGUUGCACAGGUGAGGAAGUUGAGGCACAUGGAGCUCAAGUAACUGGCCUCAGUUACACAUCUGGUAUUGAUAGGAUGAAAACCUUCCCUGUCUCACUGACGUUUUACAGAUGUGUUGCAUUAUAUUGUAAACAUGGAAAAAUAUCUUAAGGAAUGAUAAGGAUAUGCAAAAUGUAUUUUAAGCCGAAUGUCUUGGACCAAAAGCCACACACAAUAACCUGUCCCAAAAGCAAUUAUCACAUCAGGACACACCCGUUGGGACUCAACACUCCUAUUUCAAGUCUGUCCAAACACCGCAGCCCAUGUGUCUAAUGGCUUUGACAGGAGGGUGAGAUCUAGCAUCUGUGAGAGCCUUAUUUAACUGAGCAGGAAAUGGAUGUUUUCCGAACCAAAGUCUUGCAAGUCAAGAAAUACCUAUCUUGUGAACAGGAUUUAUGCUUUCAUUCCAAAGAGGAGAAGAAGUAAAAGCAAAAUGGACAAAAUUUAAAUCACAGCUCUGGAGCCCAUUUUCCAGUGGGAAUUGAGAGUGUUUGUGGAACAGUUUGGCUUGAGAGGUAAUCUCCUUGAAACACAAGGACUUUCCUGAGUGUGUGAAAGUAUUUGGACCUCUGAGAUCUCUGAGAUUUCAAGUGUAACUUUCAAUUCAGGCAUUGCCUUUUCCAAGAGAGCUUUGCUUCCUCCCUCUGUUCUCUUGGUUAGACUUUUUUUUUAUAUAUAUAUAUAUGCUGGUUGUUUUUCACUGAGUUUCCUUAUUGUUUUGGAAUUGUCCUCUUCUCCAUUAGAUUGUGUGUCAUUGAUGGGUGACCAUGGAUGUGCUUCACUCAAAUUAUUCUUUCUGUAACUAGCACGGUUUGAACUAGAAUCAAUCUUGUUCAAGAGAUGAAUGCUGUAUCAAUGGACAAAGGAAUGAAUACAGUCUUUACCAUUAUAAGCUUGGUAUGGUGUAGGUGGAUGCUUGGAAUUCAAGUAAGUAAAGCUAGUCAAGGGCCACUCUUGUUUGCGCCUGACUAACAAUCUUGCGUCAUCCAAAGGCUGAGUGUCCAGCAUGUCAGGAAGAGUUGUGGUUCCAUUUAGUCAGUGUGUUUUGGCAGUUUUGGCUUCUUGUAGUUGCCUGAUGAAGUGAUGUAGGGUGGAUGGAAGCCCAAAGUUAUUUCUCAACAAGAAAAGCCUGUCUUCUUCUAUGGCUUCUCUUUCCUUACGUCGGAAAGGAAAUACUACCUUAACACAUCAAUCCCUAAAUCAUUUAAACAAUUGCUUAACAAAGAUGGUCAAGAAUUAUUCUAGUUCAGUGUGAUUCCAGAGGAAAUUCUGUCUUGGCUCAAGGGAUGGGUGGCCUUUGGUUUUCUUUUAGGUACUUUCAGGAAGUCUCAGAGUUACAGGAGGAAUGUUUAGAUCAAUCAGGCAUAUGGGCAAGUGGGUCAGUGGAUUCUGGGUCAGAGCCAGGCCCUUGACCUGAUAAUCAGAGGUAGUUUGUUGAGGCAGAGAAGAAAGGGGCGGAGUCUUGAAAAACCAUGGUGUAAACUGGAGAAAAGAUAUAUAAGCUAAAAUUAAAAGGCAACUAA